rnacentral:misc_RNA from 1 species
AACGCAACUUGCACCCUUUGGUAUUCCGAGGGGUACGUCUGUUUGAGCGUCGUGAACAUCUCAACUCGCUUGUAUUUCAUUCUUUGAGAGGCAAGUGAGCAAUUUGGACUUGGAGGUUGUGCCGAGGCCUUUUCGGGUCGGCUCCUCUUGAAUGCAUUAGCGAGGACCCAUUGCGUGGCCUUGACGGUGAUAAUGAUUGUCUACGUCAGUGGGCUUGAUGCUUUGAUCGGAAUCGCUUUCCAACCCGUCACCCUUUGGGGGGACAAACGGCUUGCAGGAUCCCUUUGGGCUGCGAGACAUCCAACUAGACCUCAAAUCAGACGGGACUACCCGCUGAACUUAA